rnacentral:rRNA from 1 species
GACGAACGCUGGCGGCGUGCUUAACACAUGCAAGUCGAACGGAAAGGCCCUGCUUUUGUGGGGUUCUCGAGUGGCGAACGGGUGAGUAACACGUGAGUAACCUGCCCUUGACUUUGGGAUAACUUCAGGAAACUGGGGCUAAUACCGGAUAGGAGCUCCUGCUGCAUUGUGGGGGUUGGAAAGUUUCGGCGGGUGGGGAUGGACUCGCGGCUUAUCAGCUUGUUGGUGGGGUAGUGGCUUACCAAGGCAUUGACGGGUAGCCGGCCUGAGAGGGUGACCGGCGACAUUGGGACUGAGAUACGGACCAGACUCCAACGGGAGGCAGCAGUGGGGAAUAUUGCACAAUGGGCGGAAGCCUGAUGCAGCAACGCCGCGGGCGGGAUGACGGCCUUCGGGUUGUAAACCGCUUUCGCCUGUGACGAAGCGUGAGUGACGGUAAUGGGUAAAGAAGCACCGGCUAACUACGUG